ensembl:snoRNA Gm23822 small nucleolar RNA SNORA17
CCUGCUUCUGAGAAGCUUUGCAGGUGUGACUGCUGUGUCACAUUUGCUCCUGAAGGUGGCAGAGAGGAGAGAGGCUAUGUCUGUGCUCAGUGUUCUGACCUGUCUGAAUGAUUAAUAACCUAACACG